GGCCUUAGUUUGACUUUUAAGAGUUUUACUGCUUGCUUGAGGCAUUUGGGGUAAUGUGAGGGGGUAAAAGCUUCUACUGAAGUAGUUCUAAGCACCUGAGCUGGUGGGAUGGGCUGUGCUGAGCUGGCUUGCCCUAUAGAGGAGAGCAAAAGGGAGAGUAUCUGCAAAACAGGGGAGUGUUUUAGAAAUGGAAGUAGGGCUCCUCUUUGUGAAAAAGGAAGGUCCUGGUUAUUUGAAGACUGGACAGGAUCAACUGAGCAAGCAGGUAGGAACUACUCCAAGUGGAAGGUGUCCUGUCAUCUGAAAGGGACUGCAAAGUGCACUAAAAUAACAGGCUUGGAUAGAUGAAGCUCUUGUGUAACUGAGAGAGCACUUUGUGCCAACUUCCAGUUUGAAUACAGAUUAGUCACUUGUGCAGAGCCUUCAAUGAAGUCCUGGUCCUGCAGGGAAUUUGGGAGGCAUGCUGCAUGGGAUUUCUGCUACCUCUGCUGGAACUGCAACAAAGAUGUCAAGGUCUUUGUGG